AACCAUAGAAACCUGCGGAGUACCUGCGGAGGGAUCAUUACAGAGUUCAUGCCCUCACGGGUAGAUCUCCCACCCUUGAAUACUAUACCUUUGUUGCUUUGGCGGGCCGCUUUGGCUACUGGCUCUGGCUAGUAAGUGCCCGCCAAAGAACCCCAAAACUCUGAAUAUUAGUGUCGUCUGAGUACUAUAUAAUAGUUAAAACUUUCAACAAUGGAUCU
rnacentral:misc_RNA from 1 species